GCGCCGGUGGUGUAAAGGCGUAGAGCAUUCCCGCCCGGUCAGAGGGAGGUGCGGGUUCGAGUCCCGCCUCGCGCU
rnacentral:tRNA from 1 species